GAUGAACGCUGGCGGCGUGCCUAAUACAUGCAAGUCGAGCGAACAGACGAGGAGCUUGCUCCUCUGACGUUAGCGGCGGACGGGUGCGUAACACGUGGAUAACCUACCUAUAAGACUGGGAUAACUUCGGGAAACCGGAGCUAAUACCGGAUAAUAUAUUGAACCGCAUGGUUCCAUAGUUAAAGUCGGUUUUUCUGUCACUUAUAGCUGAAUCCGCGCCGCAUUAGCUAGUUGGUAAGGUAACGGCUUACCAAGGCUACGAUGCGUAGCCGACCCGAGGGGGUGAUCGGCCAGCCGGGAAGUGAGACACGGUCCAGACUCCUACGGGAGGCAGCAGUAGGGAAUCUUACGCAAUGGGCGAGAGCCUGACGGAGCAACGCCGCGUGAGUGAUGAAGGUCUUCGGAUCGGAAAGCGCUGUUAUUAGUGAAGAACAAAUGUGUAAGUAACUAUGCACGUCUUGACGGUACCUAAUCAGAAAGCCACGGCUAACUACGUG
rnacentral:rRNA from 1 species